rnacentral:tRNA from 1 species
GCUCUUAUAACUCAGUUGGUUAGAGUGUGGUGCUUAUAACGCCAAAGUCGCGGGUUCGAGCCCCGCUAGGAGCA